rnacentral:rRNA from 1 species
AUUGAACGCUGGCGGCAGGCCUAACACAUGCAAGUCGAACGAGUGGCGGACGGGUGAGUAAUGUCUGGGAAACUGCCUGAUGGAGGGGGAUAACUACUGGAAACGGUAGCUAAUACCGCAUACCAUCGGAUGUGCCCAGAUGGGAUUAGCUUGUUGGUGGGGUAACGGCACACCAAGGCGACGAGCCCUAGCUGGUCUGAGAGGAUGACCAGCCAAACUGUAACUGCGACACGGUCCAGACUCCUCCGUGAGGCAGCAGUGGGGAAUAUUGCACAAUGGUCGCAAGCCUGAUGCAGCCAUGCCGCGGGUAUGAAGAAGGCCUUCGGGUUGUAAAGUACUUGCAGCGGGGAGGCGUUACCCGCAGAAGAAGCACCGGCUAACUCCGUGCCAGCCGCCGCGGUAAUUC